GCACUGUUGAGGAGUCCUAUACUAGGACGAAACAACUGUCCAGUGC
rnacentral:hammerhead_ribozyme from 1 species